UGGGGGAUAUUGCACAAUGGGGGAAACCCUGAUGCAGCGACGCCGCGUGGAGGAAGAAGGUUUUCGGAUUGUAAACUCCUGUCGUUAGGGACGAUAAUGACGGUACCUAACAAGAAAGCACCGGCUAACUACGUGCCAGCAGCCGCGGUAAUA
rnacentral:rRNA from 1 species